UUAAAUAUGAUGAUAAGUUUAUUCUGAAGAAGAAUUGUUGAUUUCAACUUAAAAUUAUAACCAAAAGGAUUCUGAUAGUAA